GAUGAAGAACGCAGCGAAAUGCGAUAAGUAAUGUGAAUUGCAGAAUUCAGUGAAUCAUCGAAUCUUUGAACGCACAUUGCGCCCGCCAGUAUUCUGGCGGGCAUGCCUGUUCGAGCGUCAUUUCAACCCUCAAGCCCAGCUUGGUGUUGGGAUCUGUCCUUACCGACAGUCCCCAAAUUGAUUGGCGGUCACGUCGAGCUUCCAUAGCGUAGUAAUUUACACAUCGUUACUGGUAAUCGUCGCGGCCACGCCGUUAAACCCCAACUUCUGAAUGUUGACCUCGGAUCAGGUAGGAAUACCCGCUGAACUUAAGCAUAUCAAUAAGCGGAGGA
rnacentral:misc_RNA from 1 species